rnacentral:lncRNA from 1 species
GCAGAUUUAAAUGACUCAGCAGUAGGACUCAGGUCUCUGUCUCUGCCUGCUUACUUAGGGAGUGCUCCAGCCUUUGGGGCUGUCUUGCACUGCAGCAUAGGAAGGAAAUCAUCGACGGCUCCAUUCCCUGGCGUUUGAGACUUUUCUUCCCACAGACACAUUCCUGAGGACACCAGUCAUGCGUAAAGAACUCCACUGGGGUCAGAGUUGGAUCCCACUAGGCAGUUUAGGACUUGUAAGCAGAGUAGCACAGACUUGGUGUUCCCAGAGCCUCUCACUCAUGAUUCAUGGCUCUCCACCCCAAGCAUCGGACUUGCUCAACUUCACCACAGAAGAAAACAGACUGUAAGCUUAGAGGGCCAGGGAGGAAACUGGAGGCACGUGUGGGAGGAAAAGAUACUGAUGGACCACCGAAGUUGGCUCAGUUGGAAUACCAGCCAUGUGGCAUGUCUCAUGGGGCAAGAGCUAUGCCACCCAUGGGAGCCCAGAGGAGCACACUGAGGACCAACACCAGGGAGACCUUUCCCAAACACGAGUCUAAAGAAGAUGGCCAAAAAAGGGGUGCAGAUCUAGUAGUUUACAAGUGGUGCCAAGAUAAGAGAGAAGACAGCUAUCUGCAAACCAGAAAGACGGUCCUCACCACACAUCUUAUCUGCCAAUGGAUCCUUGCUCUUGAACCUCCCGAUCUGCAGAAUCAUGAGAAAUAAACAUUGUGUAAGCCACCCAGUCUACAGUAAUUUGUUCUAGCAGCCCAAGCUGACUAAGAUAUGGUCUCAUUACAUAACCACUUUUAACCCUAGUCUUUCUAUCUGUAAAGUAAGAGGGUGAAAGAAGUCAUGCCAGAAGAUGU